GAUGAAGAAAGUAGCGAAAUGCGAUAAGUAGUGUGAAUUGCAGAAUUCAGUGAAUCAUCGAAUCUUUGAACGCACAUUGCGCCCUUUGGUAUUCCUUAGGGCAUGCCUGUUCGAGCGUCAUUUAAACCUUCAAGCUAAGCUUGGUGUUGGGUGACUGUCCGCUUCACGGCGGACUCGCCUCAAAAUUAUUGGCGGCCGGUACAUUGGCUUCGAGCGCAGCAGAAACGCGAACUCGGGCCCGUCGUAUUGGCUCCCAGAAGCUAUCUUCACAAUUUUGACCUCGGAUCAGGUAGGGAUACCCGCUGAACUUAAGCAUAUCAAUAAGCGGAGGA
rnacentral:misc_RNA from 1 species